UACGUAGGGGGCAAGCGUUGUCCGGAAUCAUUGGGCGUAAAGAGCGUGUAGGCGGCCCGGUAAGUCCGCUGUGAAAGUCGAGGGCUCAACCCUCGAAUGCCGGCGGAUACUGUCGGGCUAGAGUCCGGAAGAGGCGAGUGGAAUUCCUGGUGUAGCGGUGAAAUGCGCAGAUAUCAGGAGGAACACCUACGGCGAAGGCGGGUCUCUGGGCCGAUACUGACGCUGAGGAGCGAAAGCGUGGGGAGCGAACAGG
rnacentral:rRNA from 1 species